UACCUGGUUGAUCCUGCCAGUAGUCAUAUGCUUGUCUCAAAGAUUAAGCCCUACAUGUCUAAGUACAUGCCGUAUUAAGGCGAAACCGCGAAUGGCGCAUUAAAUCAGUUAUGGUUCCUUGGGUCGUAUCCGAGCAGUAACUCGGAUAACUGUGGCAAUUCCAGAGCUCAUACAUGCAGCAGAGAUCCGACCCUCUGGGGACGAGCGCUUUUAUUAGGCCAAAACCAAUCGGGCCUAGUGUCCAUAUUAUGUGGUGACUCUGUAUAACUUUGGGUUGAUUGCACGGGCUCGUCCCGGCGACUUAUCUUUCAAAUUGUCUGCCUUAUCAACUGUCGAUGGUAGGUAACACGUUUACCAUGGUCGUAACGGGUGACGGGGAAUCAGGGUUCGAUUCUGGAGAUGGAACCUAAGAAACAGCUACCACAUUUAAGGAAGGCAGCAGGGGCGCAAAUUACCCCCUCCCAGGACGGGGAGGUAGUGACGAAAAUAACAAUAAGGGACUCUUUUAGACCCCGUAAUUGGAAUGAGUACACUCUAAAUCCUUUAACUAGGAAUCAAUUGGAGGGCAAGUCUGGUGCCAGCAGCCGCGAUAAUUCCAGCUCCAAUAGUGUAUAUUAAAGUUGUUGCGGUUUUAUAUAAGCGUUCCACGUGUGAAUGAAAUCGCACUACACGGCUGAGCCUUU
rnacentral:ncRNA from 1 species